rnacentral:rRNA from 1 species
CGGCCUUGACAUACUAAGAACUUUCCAGAGAUGGAUUGGUGCCUUCGGGAACUUAGAUACAGGUGCUGCAUGGCUGUCGUCAGCUCGUGUCGUGAGAUGUUGGGUUAAGUCCCGCAACGAGCGCAACCCUUUUCCUAUUUGCCAGCGGGUCAUGCCGGGAACUUUAAGGAUACUGCCAGUGACAAACUGGAGGAAGGCGGGGACGACGUCAAGUCAUCAUGGCCCUUACGGCCAGGGCUACACACGUGCUACAAUGGUCGGUACAAAGGGUUGCUACCUCGCGAGAGGAUGCUAAUCUCAAAAAGCCGAUCGUAGUCCGGAUCGCAGUCUGCAACUCGACUGCGUGAAGUCGGAAUCGCUAGUAAUCGCGGAUCAGAAUGCCGCGGUGAAUACGUUCCCGGGCCUUGUACACACCGCCCGUCACACCAUGGGAGUUUGUUGCACCAGAAGUAGGUAGUCUAACCGCAAGGAGGACGCUUACCACGGUGUGGCCGAUGACUGGGGUGAAGUCGUAACAAGGUAAGCGUAGAUGA